UACGAAGGGGGCGAGCGUUGUUCGGAAUCACUGGGCGUAAAGAGUGCGUAGGCGGUCGUGAAAGUUAGGAGUGAAAGCCCAGGGCUCAACCCUGGAAUUGCUCUUAAUACUCCACGGCUUGAAUUCGGGAGAGGAUAGCGGAAUUGUCAGUGUAGCAGUGAAAUGCGUAGAUAUUGACAGGAACACCGGUGGCGUAAGCGGCUAUCUGGACCGACAUUGACGCUGAGGCACGAAAGCGUGGGGAUCAAACAGG
rnacentral:rRNA from 1 species